rnacentral:lncRNA from 1 species
UUUGGCACUGCUUGUCUCCGACGCCAUCUACAUCAAUGGAGCUCACCGGGUUCCAUAUCUUAUCUUCGCAGGUACGUAGCUUUCGAUUCCUUUCUCCUUUCUACGUCUUCUUUGAUUCUCUUGCGCGUUUUCUUUGAUGUACUGUUCUUAGAUUUUCUUCCAAGUUUCCUCUAGAGAGAUUCUUGUGAAGGAGCUAGAUGGGUUGGAGGUCAAGGGCGUCCAGGCAGAAAGUGUUAGCAUGGGUGGGUAAAGGGAACGCUUAAUGAUUCUUUGAAAAUAGAACGUCAGCAUAUACAUCUCCAAAUCGGGAUGCAUUCCAUCACCGUGGUGUUACU